CCUUACUUUUACUAAAAUGUUCCUAUCAUUUUCAUAGCUUCCCCAGCUUCCCAUUCCUUAUUUUAGUCUUUUAUUUGUGAUAUAUACCGGAUUCUCCAUUAGAAUAUCUCUACUUUUCUUCCUUGCUUAGUCAUUUUCUUCAUUCACCAUUUUUUUACUAUUUUGCCCUCCUACUUUUGUUCAAGUACUAUCUUCCUAGGUAACUCUUUCUGUCUUUUUCUUUUUUUAAAUCUUUUAUAGCUAGUAAUAGGAGAAUUACAAGGAGUGGCUCUACAUGCCCUCAUACCCCUGCUAGGAAAUCAGCUGAGGAUUUUGCCCCUAGGGUUUUCUAGAAGGAUCUUGAUGCUUUUAAGAUUAUGUGAUUCCUUCGAGUUAUACCUUUUCUUUAUGCAAUUCCUCUUUUCGGGAAGAACACCCUCCCAUUCCAUCUCCUCAGUAGUUUUUAGGGAACAAUUUGAUGCUGGUCUUUGUUUCCCUCUCUCGUAUCUCCUAUUAGAUUUUUUAAAACUUCAUCGAAUUUCCCUUGGGCAACUGCAUCCUAAUGCUAUUUGUCUUAUUUGUUGUCUUUCAGAAAUUUUUAGGAUAAAGGGUCUAAUCCCCUUUUUAGAUGAUUUCCACCAACUCUUCUUUGUUUCUAGUAAACUGUACUCUUGUGUAUAACCUUCCUUCCUUUGUCAAAAGUUGGAGAAAAUUCUUUUUCUUCAUCCAUCAUGAUUCUGCCUUUGUAGAUUUUCCUUCCUCUUGGGCUCCUCUUAUUAGGAAAAAAUAAAAAGGGCCCCUUGUGAGAGAAAAUUCUUUAUUCCUAGAGAGGUUACUGGCAAAGUGCUAGUCUAAAAGUUCUCUAGUUAAGGACUAUAUAUUCAAAACUUCUCCUCUCUCUUAGUUACUAUUCCUUAAGCAAUUUAUAGUCUUGCCUUUUCUGAUCUGAUGAGGAUGUACAUUCAGAUCACAAAGAUGAGGGUCCGGAUAUGACCACUAGCCAUCCUGAGGCACCUUAAGAUAUGGACCCUAGCUUGUUUCUGAAAGGUUUGAGUUUGAAGAAGAAAGCUUCCAUUUCUUUAUCUCAAUCUUCAACAGUUCCUGCCUCAACAGCCAAUGAUAAAUCUUAUGGCUUCAAAGUUUCUUCCUCGAAAGGUAGAGGAAAGAAGACUAAGCCUCAUCUUCAUUCUAUAGAGCCACUUUGAAAAGAAUAAGUCUUGGGAAGGCUCUUCCCUUUUAAAGAAGUCCUAGUCCAGCUUUCCUAGUCCAAUAGGAUGGUUGUCUGAGAGUUUUACCAUGGCUACUAUCACCAACUCUAACGUGUGUGACUUGGUGGCAGAAUGCAAGACUUCCCCAUGAUCUUAAUAAAUAGGAGAAGUAUGAAAUGGAUGAGGUUAUUUCCCAUAUUUCCUAUAAUAAUUUAGCCGUUAUGCAGGGAUCCUUCAAGCUAGAAGAGAUUCUGAAGAAGCUCAAGGUGUCUUGUGUUGAAGCUCACUCCAAUGCUUUUGGAUUUUAGAUUACUUUCGAAAAGGCCCAAAGGUUACUAGAUAGGACUAAAGAAGCUUUUACCAAAGGGAGACAACUAUCUUCAAAGAUUGAGAAGCUAACCUCUCAAUUUGUAGAAUGAAAGAACAAUUUAAAGAGGUUGAGUCUGCCAAGAUGACCAUUGAGGAGAAAUUCCAAGUGGAAGCCAUGAAGCUUCAAGCUUUGUGUUCUGCCAUGAUCUCCCACUAUCAUCAAGCGGUAAUUGAAGUUGUUCAGUCUUAAAAUCCAGAUGCCAAUCUCACAAUUGUGGAUGAAAUAAAUCUUAAAGAUUUAUAAACUCUUGUUCUAGCAAACCAUAAUGCCCAUCAUUCUGAACUAGUGGAAGAGGCAAUCGAAUAUGAGGAAGAGCAUACCUCUAACACUGUUAACCUAGAGGACGUGAUUGUCCUCCCUGAUGAUGGCAAAGAUCUGCCAUAACUUUCUUGUAAUUUUUGAACAAUCUUACUUUUCAUAUAAUAGUUUUUAUUUUGGUUUUGGGGCA